UACGUAGGGUGCAAGCGUUAAUCGGAAUUACUGGGCGUAAAGCGUGCGCAGGCGGUUGUGCAAGACCGAUGUGAAAUCCCCCGGGCUUAACCUGGGAAUGGCAUUGGUGACUGCACGGCUAGAGUGUGUCAGAGGGGGGUAGAAUUCCACGUGUAGCAGUGAAAUGCGUAGAGAUGUGGAGGAAUACCGAUGGCGAAGGCAGCCCCCUGGGUCAAGAUUGACGCUCAUGCACGAAAGCGUGGGGAGCAAACAGG
rnacentral:rRNA from 1 species